UACGGAGGGUGCAAACGUUGCUCGGAAUCAUUGGGCGUAAAGCGCACGUAGGCGGUCCAGCAAGCGGGGAGUGAAAUCCCUCGGCUUAACCGAGGAAGUGCUUUCCGAACUACUGGACUUGAAUACUGAAGAGGAUCGCGGAAUUCCCGGUGUAGAGGUGAAAUGCGUAGAGAUCGGGAGGAACACCCGUGGCGAAGGCGGCCACCUGGGCCGACCCUGACGCUGAGGCGCGAUGGCGUGGGGAGCGAACGGG
rnacentral:rRNA from 1 species